rnacentral:misc_RNA from 1 species
AAGUGAUGGCCAAACAGAAUUGAAUCAGUGUUUGGAAACCUACUUGAGAUGCAUGACUCAUCAGCAUCCCAAAGCCUGGUUUCAGUGGUUGUCACUUGCAGAGUGGUGGUACAAUUCCUCAUACCAUUCUGCUAUAAAAAUGACUCCAUUUGAAGCCUUAUAUGGCUAUUACCCUCCAUCAUUACCUGCUAUUCCUUCUUUUGCAUCACCAGUUCAGGCUGUUGACCAAUUUUUUCAGGAGAGGCAGCAGUUGAAUGAUGUUCUCAAGAGUAAUUUGGAGCAAGCUAGGAACAGGAUGAAACAGCAAGCUGAUAAGGGUAGAGUUGAGAAAGAAUUUGAGGUAGGGGAUAUGGUAUAUCUAAAGCUUCAACCUUAUAGACAAACAUCUGUUGCCUUAAGAAGGAAUUUAAAGCUAGCUGCUAGGUAUUAUGGACCAUUUCAAAUUCUGCAGAAGGUUGGCAACGUAGCAUACAAGUUACAGCUUCCUCCUAGUGCUGCUAUUCACCCUGUCUUUCAUGUCUCGCUUCUCAAGAGAAAACUUGGAGACAAUGUUGUGCCACAAUUACAGUUACCCGAAAUGUUGGAGAAUGAAAUAAUAGUGGCCCCUGAGAAAAUCUUGCAAACUAGAACCAUUACAAGGAAUGGUCAGGCUGUAAUUCAAGGACUGGUCAAAUGGUUUAAUCUUCCAUUAGAGGAUGCUACUUGGGAGGAUCAGUCAUUCAUCCAAGCCCAAUUUCCCACUUUCAUACAUUCUUGGGGACAAGAAUGUUCUCGAGAUGGGGGUAUUGUCACGUACAGAAGAAGGGAGUAUAAGAAUAAGUGAAUUGAU